AUGCCGAGCCAGCAGAUCCCGGCCACGCCGGUCGGCGGCAUCACCUCCCGCCGCCACGCCAAGCUCCUGCUCCACCUCGUCGAAGGGGACGGGGGUGCCGCCGCCGGCGGCGGCGCGUCCGUCAAGGACCUCCGCCUCCGCCGCGUCGUCCCUCCCGCGUCCGCGACCCUCGACGUCUCCCCCGAAUGCGCCGCGGCCGCCGCCAAGCCCGGAUCCGUCCAGAUCCAGAGCACCCCGCCGGAGCCCGUGGCGGCCGCCGAAGACCGCGAGAGGAAGCCGAUGCUGCCGCGGUCCAAGCUCGUGCGCGACCCGGGCUCCUUCGGCUACCGGCGGCUGCUCCCUUUCCUCAACCAGAUGGCCAACAAAGGUUCAGACAUCUCAAGCAGCAAGGACAUGCCCUCCGAAAACAAGGUUCCCAUCCCAAGCAAGGAGCUCAGCAGAUCUGACUCCGGGUUGGCUGAUGAGAUACCUCCCGUGGGUGGGAGUCAAGGCGGAGCUGCUCCUCUGGAUUCCGUGGAGCCGCCGCCUGUUGUGAAGGCUGUAGCAGACACGGAGAUCCGUGACAGUGUCAAAGAAGAAACCAAGUCUACCCCUGUCGAUCUCGCAAGCAGCAAGCCCUCUCUUGCCCGCUGCACGAGGUCAAAGUUUGUUCAUCACCCGAGCUCAUUCAGCUACAAGAGGAUGUUGCCAUUUCUCAUGGAGAACGACAUCUCCUCUCAGGAAGGAGACAGGGCCAAGUUUAGAAGAUUAUCAGAAGAGCAGCAAAUGACAUCUGAUGAGACUGAUGUCCAGGCCAGUGGACAGAUUCAAUCUGCCACUGCAGAAGUUUUGCUGGAUGGCAGUGCAGCUGAAGUGCAGAAAGGCACACAAGGAGAAGAGCCAGCUUCAGUUGGAGACCCAUUGUCUUCAGAGAGUGGUGAAUUAGCAUCAGGCGUGAAUGCUGUUCCGCCCGGUCGACAGAACCAGCUUCCUGUUUCAGAAGACACUCAUGGUGAAGGAAAUGCAGCUGAAGUUGAAAGCACUGUGGAAGAGAAGGCAUCAAAAUCAGAUGAGAAGCCUGUUCCUAUGGAUUCUGUAGACCUGCCUGUUGGGAAGGCUGAAGGAACUCAGGAGGUGAAGGAUUGCUGUGACAGUGUGAAAGAGGAAACCAAGAUUGUACCUGCUGAUCUUGCAAGCAGCAAGCUGUCCCUUCCCCGCUGCAUGAGGUCAAAGUUUGUUCCCCAUCGAAGCUCAUUUAGCUACAAGAGGAUGCUGCCAUUUCUCAUGGAGAAUGAAACCUCUUCUCAGAAAGAAGACAUGGCCAAACUUCAAACAGUCUCGGAAGAGAAGCAAUUAGCAUUGCCUGAAAAUGAUGUGUUGGCUAGUGGAAAUCAUCUUUCUGUCUCAGAAGGCUCCCCUGAAGCAUGCUACCAAGCUGAACUUGACAGAAUUGUAGAAGAAAUAUCAUCAACAGAUGAGAACUAUCUUUUGAAGGGUGUACAGCUUCAGUCUGUUGUUCCAGUUGCAGAAGUCUCUCUGGAUGUCAGUACAGCUGAAGUGCAGAAAGUCACACAAGAAGUGUUGGCUUCAGAUGGAGACCUAUUAUCCCCAGACAAGCGUGAGCUAACAUCAGAGAGGAAUGAUGUCCUGGCUGGUGGACAGUGUCAGCUUGCUGUCUCAGAUGGCUCUGCUAAUGAAAGUGAUGUAGCUGAAGCUGAGAGGAUAGUUGAAGAAAAGGCAACAAAAUCAGAUGAGAAUUCUGUACUUAAUGACAGAGAUGAGUCAAGUGGAUUAGCAUCAGACAAGGGUGAGUUUCUGAUGGAAGAUCAGCCUCAGGCAUGUGACUCAAAGAAGUUACAAUGCAAUGCUGAUCUUGCUCUAGCACAACAAUGCCAGAGCCCAGAGUCAGGAUGUUCUAUCAAGACAGUAAUGGUGGAUGGUGGAGCUGAUCCACACGGUUCACCAGAGAGACAUGAUUCUGUGGCUUCUCUUGGUGGCCUACUGCUUGAUGUGGGAAUGAUCUGCAAGCCUUCUGAACCUUCUAUUGGCUCACCCUUAUCAGCAGAGGGAAUGUCUGGUUGUGUUGCACAUGCUGAAUCAGGGCUGAGUAAAGUGGGCACACCGUCUCCAUUGGGUUCUCCUUGUUUGGAACAACAACGCCUUUCUCCGAAGAUACCCUCCCCUAGCAGUGGCGCUUUCAGCGGCGCCUCUUUUCUGAAGAAGCGGCGCUUUUCUCCGAAGAAACUUUCUCCAAAGAAGGGAAUACUUAAGAGGCAUACAAUGGGGUGCAGGGGCAUCUGCAUGUGCUUGGACUGCAGUGUGUUUCGUCUACGUGCUGAUAGAGCUUUUGAGUUCUCUAGGAAGCAGAUGCAAGAGGCAGAUGAUAUAAUAGUGAACUUACUGGAGGAGGUGGCAAGUCUUAGGAGUAUGGCGGAGAAAUCUUCUGGCAAACAGGAGCAGAUGGAAGCUUGCCAGAGGGCGUUGCGGGUAGAGGAGGUGGCCAAGGAGCGUCGGCAGCAGAUGCUGGCCGAGCUCAACUCUCACUGCAAAAUUCCUGGCCCAAGGGUGAAAUUCGCUCAGUACGUCGAGGGAAAGAUGGCCUCUUCUCCUUCCAGCAGCAGGAGGCAAUAA
rnacentral:rRNA from 1 species